GAGAGAAAGGCAACCAAACUGGAGCAUCUCAGAAAUAACUCUAUUACAAGAACUUGUAGAAAAGGAUGAGUUCGUGUUAAAAUCAAAGCAAACAAACACCAUAACAAAUAACAAAAAAAAUGAAAAGUGGGCAGAAAUAUGUUCUAAAAUUAACGCAAUGGGACUUCAAAAAAGAACGAUGAAGCAAGUAAUAUAUAAAUGGGGAAACUUACAACAGAAUGCAAAAAAAUAUAUACUGAAGUAAAAAAACAGAGGAAAUUGACUGGAGGAGGGCCGGCACCAAAGCCACCAUCAGCCGUGGAAGAAAAAAUCAUUGAAAUGAUGAAGGACAGGCCAAAUUUUAGUGGAAUAUCCUGUGGUUUUGAGUCCACUAUGCCUCCAGUGUUUGAGAGUAC
rnacentral:lncRNA from 1 species